rnacentral:rRNA from 1 species
UCCUAAGGUAGCGAAAUUCCUUGUCGGUUAAAUACCGACCUGCAUGAAUGGCGUAACGAGAUGGGAGCUGUCUCAACCAGAGAUUCAGUGAAAUUGUAGUGGAGGUGAAAAUUCCUCCUACCCGCGGCAAGACGGAAAGACCCCGUGGACCUUUACUACAACUUAGCACUGCUAAUGGGAAUAUCAUGCGA